UGGGGAAUUUUGGACAAUGGGCGCAAGCCUGAUCCAGCAAUGCCGCGUGCAGGAUGAAGGCCUUCGGGUUGUAAACUGCUUUUGUACGGAACGAAAAGCCUCUCUCUAAUACAGGGGGUGAUGACGGUACCGUAAGAAUAAGCACCGGCUAACUACGUGCCAGCAGCCGCGGUAAUACGUAGGGUGCAAGCGUUAAUCGGAAUUACUGGGCGUAAAGCGUGCGCAGGCGGUUUUGUAAGACAGUGGUGAAAUCCCCGGGCUCAACCUGGGAACUGCCAUUGUGACUGCAAGACUGGAGUGCGGCAGAGGGGGGAUGGAAUUCCGCGUGUAGCAGUGAAAUGCGUAGAUAUGCGGAGGAACACCGAUGGCGAAGGCAAUCCCCUGGGCCUGCACUGACGCUCAUGCACGAAAGCGUGGGGACGCAAACAGAUUAGGUACCCUGGUAGUCCACGCCCUAAACGAUGUCAACUGGUUGUUGGGGGAUUUAUUUCUUCCAGUAACGAAGCUAAC
rnacentral:rRNA from 1 species